GCCUAGAAUGCAUUUUAAAUAAAGAAAACCAGCUGCCGUCUUUGUGCAGAGGGCGAGAGGCGAGUUGGGGCAGUGGGAGUGGAUAAAGGAAGGAAAGGAGGAGUUUUGACUCAGGAGAAGUGAAAGUGAAAUGAAUCUGUGGAGUAUUUAAAGAGGAAGUUUGGAGUCCCAGAGCUGUUGGCAGACGGGACUGCAGAGGACGACGCAGCGCUCAGACGCGCAGCCAUGCUGACCUGAGCCCAGCCCUGCUGAAACCCUCUGUUUGUGGGUGGGAUUGUAACGGAACCCAUAAUGCAGCUGUGAUUCUGAGCCCCAGCUGGUUAUGGGGUCCGUUUCCAUCCCACGGCGCACAAGACAUCCCCCGACCCAUCAGCCCGGUGGGGCAUCCUCCUUCCUUCCACACAGACAUUACGCUUCAACACUGCAGGUCACCUUGAAAUGUUUUUCAGACAGAAUUCAUGUCACGUCAGUUCAAAACUUUCACAUGAAGAACAAAAACCAUGUUUAAAAAGUAAAAGUAAAACACCAGCGGCAGCAAAGAACGCUAUAAAAGCAUCUGGAGUAAAAAUACUAAGCUGAGCGAGUCACAAAGAAAACCCAUUUUUGAUAACAGCUACUGUCUCGCUGCUCACCACCACGGCCCACGCAGGGCAGACCUGUGGUUUUGUUUCUGUUGAAUCAGUGAAGAAAGUGAAACUAACGCCUGUAAGGUCAUGUAACACUCUGUCGCCGGUCUGCAAAAGCGAUAUAUGAUGGUUCAUGACUGACUGAUGCAGAGGUGUUUUUCCUCAAUGACACGUUUUCUCCCGGAUUGCUGCGAGCAGGAAACGCAACCGGGAAUUUCGUGUCAGCCAAGAAUGACACCUGAAACAGCAACUGAGAAGCCAGCUGCAAAUGCUUUUGGAAUUUCAAUAUUUAAAAUGUGUGUAGUUGUUUUUUUUAUUUUUUUAACUAAUUGUAUUGCUAAACUGGUAUUUCUAAUAAACCUCAAACUUUAAACUGACAGUUAUUGUGCAUUUUCCUUGCAGUGCCCAUUGUGGCAUGUUGCUUAUGAUGCGCUCUACCACAGACAGUUUCAGUGGUACAUACAGUAAAUAACGGUGGUUUUUCUCGUCCUCUUGGAACUACUGCCUGGUUUAUGUAUGACAACAAUGCUUUCUCGGAAAGCUCGUGACAACCCAGUUGUCCUGUAACUGUCGAAUCACAUUACAAACUUUUACCAUUUCCUCCAAACACAUCACAAAGCAGCAGCUGCGAUUUGUUCUGCUUUUACAAAUGAGUGCGGCCCACUGUUUCCACAAACCAGCACACGAUAUGCAUACGUGUUCUUCUUAAUAUCCAUUGUUGGGUAAGGCCCAUGUGUCUGGGCUUGGAGCCUUCAUUGGCAAAAUGCACAUAAACUAGGAGAGGUCCAAAACACCAAUCAUCAAAGACGACACUCGGCUGCACGGCACAAAGAAGACAGCAGGCAAAGGCAGCCGUGAGGAAAUCAUCAUGAAAGAAGACUCUGCAGAUAUAACAUCUUACAACACCUAAUCAAAUAAAGGAAAACAUAAACCAUGUAAUCAAUACAAUUAUCUGCCUUUUCAAGCCUGCUUAAUCUAUAAGAGUGAGGAAAAAACUGCCCUCAAUUAUGCCGAACAGCAUCACCUACAGAGGACGACCUGUAAUUCUACAGUUCCACAAGAUCACAGGAAAUGACUGAACAGCAGGUCCUGUGUUUAGUGCACGAGUCCACACCUGCCAUCACCGACCCUGUAAAAGAGGGUGAAACCUUUCAACAAGCAGAGCACAUAUUUGGCUUCAUAAGAGAUUCUGUUUUGGUCGGUUCAAAAAAAAGACAAACAUAUUGGGAUAAAGCUUCAUACAAGUUGAUUAGAUUUUUUAUUCUGCUAUAGCUUAUUGUUGUAUUUAACUGUGGAUGGUGACGUGAUGUUUUUUGUUUUGUUCUUUUAUGACAGUUUUCUCAUCUGGGUGGUUAGCCUGCUUUCUAUCGUGCCAGUGUGUCCUCUUUGUUGAUUGGUGAUUGGACCUCACCACAUAUUUCUAUAUAAUUAUUAUACUAUAUUUUAAAAUAUUAUCUCAUCUUAUUAUGCAUCAGACCAUCCUGAUGACGUCUCAGCC
ensembl:lncRNA